CACCUGCUACUACAUGUCAUCCAAAUAGCUGAGGUUCUCUAAGGACCAGCUGGAGGCAAAGGGCCUCAGCAUCUGCAUAACUGACAUAUCCAUGAUGUGUCAUCUGCAAGGGAAUACAACACAUGUGACAAGGCUCUGGUUUCCUAACUAAGUGACAGAGAGAGCUGUCUUGAAAGAAGCAUGUUUCUAAGAAUUUAGGGGCCUGAAUAACUUUUCUUCAUUGCUUAUAGGGAAAUUAGCAUCUCAAGGUUCACUGCACUCAAAAAGAGAUUAUACAGCCCGGCCAUGCAGAAGCUGAAGUGUGCCCAGCAUCGAUGGCAUAAGUAGCCAGUGAGGAGCUGAUGCUCCCUGACCCUGCAGAAUCUAGACUGAGACACCAUCUGGUUCCUCUUUUGCACAUCUGGCAAGGUAAUUAACAGAGUGGCCUUGGGAGAAGUAACUGCUGCAGUCCCUGAAGAAUGCCUGCAAACCAAACCUGGCUGCUAAGCCAGAGUCUGUCCACACUGUGCUAUGCUGGCCCAAGACUCUCAAGACUUAUGUCACCAGGCUGGUGCUAACCACGUGCUUAUUAACAUGGCAAUCAGUCAAAGUAAUCAAAUAAGUCACAGCGGUCAUGUACUUGGUAGCAAUGUUUUAAAUUAUGUGAAGCAGAAACCAAGAGACCUGAAACAAGAAACCAAUCACAGUUACAGUUAGAGACCACAUCUAUAAGGACAUAGGCCUGGGAAACAUCCUUUCAUAUUCUUUGUUGGGGGAAUCCAAGAGGCUCCCAAAACAACGUAAGCUAUUGUCCGGUGCCCUUGGCUGCCUCUCAGAACUGGAAACACUACACCGUUCAGACACAGGACUCGGAGGAAUCGAGCAGGAACUGACCUGGAAGCUUCCUCUCUGAGGACUGGCUCUUUUAGUAUCAGAAGGUGCUAUGAACGCUGCCAAGGGAGAAGAGCAUUCAAUAGUCUUACCCAACCAGAAAGCCUAUGGCCAACCUGGCUAAAUAUCCCUAAGGGUGCAACCGUGGCACUUACAUCUUGAGGGUAAGCAAAAGCCAUCAAAGGCCCUCUCCAUAGGAGGGAAUUCAUGCUUGGUAUUAUAAACCCAGACUAGUUUAUAAUAUAAAUCCAUGACUAGUGAGGCCACCUUCCUAAACUAGUAUAAUUUCUAACUGCAUUAUAAAUACUUAUACAGAUAAGUGUAGUUCUCCCCCAACACCAAAAAUGAGCAUCAUUGGAUAAUCAGAAACCUCUUAGAGCCCAGCCAGCUCCCUGCACAUGUGCCUGGAUAUUUGGUCCAGAGAGUUAAGGCAAUAACCCUAACCCCCAGCUUCCGUCUAGAUUCUCCAGGGCAUCUCACUAAGCAUGACUGGGAACCAGUUCACAUUAGUGACUUUGAGUCCCAUCCAUUAGAGUUUCCCAUACAUAUCUCUCCAGAAAGAGCUGGGGUGAAUACGGAUGGGGUGACUGGUUGUUGGAGGGCAGCUUCCACUUCUGCAGCUCCACCACUGUGUAGCUAUUAUUGACCUACCAUAGAAAAACCCCCUUGAUUUCUAUCUCACAAUUGGAAACUAGAAAAAGAAAACCCUGCAUACUAUUGUGAAUUAUUUAGACAAUACAACCUGUACAUAUAAAUGGGACACUGUCUUAGUGUGUACUUGUUCAUGUGUUUGGGCAUGUUCCUUUGUAUGCACAUGUAUGUGCAUAGGAAGACCAGAGGACAGCCUCCAUUGUCAUUCCCCAGGUGUUGUCAGCCUUUUGUUGUUGCUUUGUGUGUUUGUUUGUUUGUUUGUUUGUUUGUUUGUUUUUUGAGACUGGGUCUCUUGUGUAGCCCUGACUGACCUGUGACACCCUAUGUAGACUAGGCUGGCCAUGAACUGACAGAGAUCCACAUAUGCCUCUAAUACUGGGGUUAAAGGUAUGAGACAAUCCUGUCCAGCAUUUUCCUACUAACUUCUUUUUCUUUUGUAGGAAAAUGCUAAAAUAUCAAGGAAGUUAUACUUUCAAGACAAAGUUGGGUUUGAAGUAGGAACAGCCAGAAUCCUUCCCAUCUAUUGAUGGAUUUGGGAAAUUUCUUUCUCCUGUGUGUGUGUGUGUGGUGUGUGUGUGUGUGUGUGUGUGUGUGUGUGUGUGUGUGUGUGUGUGUGUGUGUCCCCAUGGUGCUCCUUUAUGUGCAUGUUUGUGUGUAGACCAGAGGAUAAUCUUGGGUGUUAUACCUUCUUUCUUACUUACUUACUUUUUCUUUUUCUUUUUCUUUUUCUUUCUCUUUCUCUUUCUCUUUCUCUUUCUCUUUUUCUUUUUCUUUUUCUUUUUCUUUUUCUUUGAGAUGGGAUCCAUCACCUAGAACUUGUCCUGUAGAACAGGCUGUCACCAGGGCCAUCUGUGUCUUCCCUAGGCCUGGGAUUACAAUUAUCUGUCACAGUACUAGCUUUUACAUUUUUUCUGGGGACGGAACUUUUUUUCCUCCUUGUACAUUUGCUUUAUUGACUGUGUUGUAUCUCUAAUCCAGUCUCUGCCAUAUUAAUGAAAUAAUUGACAUCUAGGGGUCUGUGUCUUUAUAUAGCACAAUUUUAAGAGAGAGAGAGAGAGAGAGAGAGAGAGAGAGAGAGAGAGAGAGAGAGAGAGAGGAUCUCACUAAGUUGUCCAGACUGGCCUGAAACUUGAGAUCCUCUUGCCUCAGGAUCCUGAAGGGCAAGGAUUACUGGCAUGGCUGCUACGCCUGUAAAAAUGUAAAAUUUUAAGGGUUUUUGAUCCCAUGUGAGCAUCUGAGUAAACUAUGGCCUGGUAGAUGGACUGAGAGUAUUGAUGUGGCAGCUAGCAGUCAUUCUCUGUGAUUCCAGGACAUUGCUGGGACAAGGAGCUCUCUCUCAGAAAGGCUCCUAUGAGAAACAGCACCACAGUGUGAAAGUGGGUUAUCUGGUGAGACUGUAAAAGUCUUUGUAUCACUCACAGUCAGAUCAGAUCGGUUGAGGGUGAGUAAAACACACCUCUAACCAUUUUAGGUAGAAAAUGGAAAAUUCAACGAACUAACAAAAAUACAUCAAGAUCAGGGUUCAGUGGACCUAACAACAGAGGGAGGGACUGUACAAGCUUCUCUAACUUUCUCUCACCACCCCUCACUUCUGAUAUGUUUGCUAUAUCUGGAUUUCCUCAUUCAGAAAGAAACACAACUGUCAAGCCCACCCUUGUCUUCCUCUUUCUGCUUCAGAACCAAGAGACUGAUUUAUCCUCCAUCUGGUUCCAAUUUGUAAAACCCCCAAAGAGUUUAUGAUUGACGCAGCUUCAGUAAGACAUCUCACUGCCUUAUUGCCUUUGCAGCCAUGGUUAUCUGGAGCAAGGGACAGCAUCAACAGUGUGCUAAAGACAUGGAUGAAGGGAGAUGAAUCAGGCCUACUCAAGGGUGGCUCUUGAGUGUGGAUGACCAGCUGGGUGAUGAUAUCAUUAACUCAACCUGGUUUCAGAGGCAUAGCACAGGCUCAGAGGGCCUGGAAGCACUGCUCAGUGGUAAGAACAAGAAUGCCAGGGCCAGACUGGGUUUGAAUCCUACUACUGACCAGCUGUGUGACUGCAUAAAUGAUUGCUGUGUUCAAAGCCUGUUUGCCCACCAUAAUAGCAAUACCUACUGUAUAAGGUUCAUUAUCAGUAUCAGCUAAAAUUCUCUAUAUAACAUUCGGUAACCACUGACUAAUAUUUUUGUCUUUCAACCAUGCAGCAUAGUGCUUUCAAAUGUACUUUCACUACCUUUGUACUUAGAACUAUUAUUUUUUUAAACAUCCAUGCCAGUUAACCAGUAUGUUUCUGUAGUAAACAAGUCAAGGGUUAUGUGUUCAAUCACACACGUCUCCAUGGGGAGAAAAAUUGUGGAGUGGCCACAUUUGCUCUGGCCCACAUGGUCUGCACUGGGUUGUAACGUUGGUGAGCUCUGAAGGGCUCUCACCAGGAAUGGUCUCAGCUAGCUGCCAGGCAGAAACAGCUGGGAGAUGAUAAUAGCCAUAUUCAGAGAGCAUGUGCCAGCCUAAUGGGGUCUGGGCCUCAGAAUGACUUCGGUACCACUCUCACCCUCACUGCUGGUACCCCACCCCAAGAUGGGGACUCUCAAGGAGGGCUUUACUUCUCUUUCUGAAUCUUACAAUUGAAAUCCAUUGUCUCUUUUCAAGGCUUACCAGACAAGGACUGGAAUACAUCCUUUGUCUUAGAGAAUGUAUUUGAAAGCAGAUGCUUUGCAUGCUCAUUUUCUUUUUUAAAAGAAUUGUUUCAUUAGGCCAGGCUGGUGGCAUGAGCCUUUAAUCCCAGCACUUGGGAGGCAGAGGCAGGCAGAUCUCUGAGUUCAAGGCCAGCCUGGUCUACAGAGCAAGUUUCAUGACAGCCAGGGCUAUACAGAGAAACCCUGUCUUGAAAAACAAAACAAGAAAAAUAAAAAGAUUUUCUUUCUUUCUGUCUGUCUGUCUCUUUCUUUCUUUCUUUCUUUCUUUCUUUCUUUCUUUCUCUUACAAAUAUUUUUGUGUGCUUAUAUGAGUAAUGUGAGCAGUUACCCUCAGAGGUCAGAGGACUUCAGAACCCCUGGAACUAAAGUUACUGGUGGUUGUGAGCCACCUGAUAUGCGUGAUGUGCACUGAACAUUGCAGUUAAGAACACUUCAUUUUCUUUUAUCUGCAGUUUUAGGACCACCCCAAUCUUCAGAAUAAUUGGUGCUUUGGUGAUAUAAAUGGAACCCAGAACAGGAAGGGAAGUUUGUGGGUACAGUUGCUUCCUUUUUAAUUCAUGGAAUAAACUUUAAUGUUUUGUAUAAAAAUCUAAUUUUCAUAACAUCUUUCUUUUCAUUCAUUUUUUGGGUUAGCAUACAAAACAAAAUAAUGAAUUUCACCAUUGAAUCUUCAUAUAUAUAUAUAUAUAUUCAUAUAUAUUCAUAUAUAUAUUCUUCUUGUGUGUUUGACAUCUUUCAAUAUGUUGAUGCAAGGUAGAUUUUUUUUCCAACGAUGGUUGCAUAGUGUCUUAGGGGUUUUAUUAAAGAGAUACUAUGACCACAGCAACUCUUAAAGAAAACAUUUCAUUGGUGUGGCUAGCUUCCAGUUUCAGAGGUUCAAUCCAUUAUGACCAUGACAGGGAACAUGGAAGUGUAAAGACAGAUGUGGUGCUGGAACUAAGAGUGCUAUAUCUUGACCAGAAGGCAGCAGGAAGCUGACUGACUGUCACACUGAGGGGAGUUGAGUAAAAGAGAUCUCAAAGUCCAUUCCCAUAGUGACACAUUUCCUCCAACAAGGCCAUACCUCCUAAUAGUGCAACUUCCUUCUUUCAAACCACCGCACACAGGCAUAUACAUACAUACACACACACACACACACAUAUAUAUAUAUAUAUAUAUACAUAUAUAUAUAUAUGUAUAUAUAUAUAUAUAUGAAGCUCUACUAAUAAAAAU
ensembl:lncRNA